rnacentral:misc_RNA from 1 species
GAUGAAGAACGUAGCGAAAUGCGAUACGUAGUGUGAAUUGCAGAAUUCAGUGAAUCAUCGAAUCUUUGAACGCACAUUGCACCUCUCGGUAUUCCGGGAGGUAUGCCUGUUCGAGCGUCAUUUGUACCCUCAAGCUCUGCUUGGUGUUGGGUGUUUGUUCCGCCUCUGUGUGUGAACUCGCCUCAAAACAAUUGGCAGCCGGCGUACUUGUUUCGGAGCGCAGCACAUUUUGCGAUCCAGAUCAACGUACAGCGGCAUCCAAGAAGCCUUAUUUAACGCUCUUGACCUCGGAUCAGGUAGGGAUACCCGCUGAACUUAAGCAUAUCAAUAAGUGGAGGA